rnacentral:lncRNA from 1 species
CAUCAAAGUCUGGAGCACGAGCACCUGUGAAUUUGUUCGUACUCUCAAUGGGCACAAGCGGGGCAUUGCCUGUCUCCAGUACAGGGAUCGCCUGGUUGUUAGUGGAUCAUCAGAUAAUACCAUUAGGCUCUGGGAUAUUGAAUGUGGUGCCUGUUUAAGAGUCCUAGAGGGACAUGAAGAAUUGGUCCGAUGCAUCCGGUUUGAUAACAAGAGGAUUGUCAGUGGGGCCUAUGAUGGGAAAAUUAAAGUUUGGGACUUGCAAGCUGCUCUUGACCCUCGAGCCCCAGCAAGCACAUUGUGUUUGCGCACAUUGGUGGAACAUUCUGGACGUGUGUUUCGGCUCCAGUUUGAUGAGUUUCAGAUCAUCAGCAGCUCCCAUGAUGACACUAUUUUGAUUUGGGAUUUCUUAAAUGUGCCUCCCAGUGCCCAGAAUGAGACCCGUUCUCCCUCCAGAACAUACACUUACAUCUCUAGAUAACAGUCUGCACUUUCACCCGUUUCAGGAACACUGAAAGUCAUUAUAACCAUUGAUGACAGAAUGUUUUGAUUAUUACUAAGCGUGUUCAGUCUGGAAGAUGAGAAGUCUUACUUGGCUGUGUCCUAGGAACUGAUGACUUAGGAACAGUAUUGACAACUCUGUGUUCUGCUGAGGGCCAGUGAAUUCUAUACACAUUAAACUUUGUAGAUUGAAUAAAUGUUUACAUAUAAACAUA